GGGCGCGUGGCGCAACGGUUAGCGCAGGAAGCUUAUACCUUCAAGGUUCCUGGUUCGAAUCCAGGCGCGCCCA
rfam:Microgenomates bacterium GW2011_GWF1_44_10 TW18_C0007, whole genome shotgun sequence.